rnacentral:rRNA from 1 species
GACGAACGCUGGCGGCGUGCUUAACACAUGCAAGUCGAACGGAAAGGCCUCUUUCGGGGGGUACUCGAGUGGCGAACGGGUGAGUAACACGUGAGUAACCUGCCCUUGACUUUGGGAUAACUUCAGGAAACUGGGGCUAAUACCGGAUAGGAGCUCCUGCUGCACGGUGGGGGUUGGAAAGUUUCGGCGGUUGGGGAUGGACUCGCGGCUUAUCAGCUUGUUGGUGGGGUAGUGGCUUACCAAGGCUCUGACGGGUAGCCGGCCUGAGAGGGUGACCGGCCACAUUGGGACUGAGAUACGGCCCAGACUCCUACGGGAGGCAGCAGUGGGGAAUAUUGCACAAUGGGUGGAAGCCUGAUGCAGCAACGCCGUGUGCGGGAUGACGGCCUUCGGGUUGGAAACCGCUUUCGCUCAUGACGAAGCUUUGUGUGACGGUAGUGGGUAAAGAAGCACCGGCUAACUACGUG